rnacentral:misc_RNA from 1 species
UUCAGUUUAUAUGCAGUUCCAAAUUAUGUUGCAAAUCAGCAAGUCAAGAUCAAGAGGGCAAAAUUAAUCUCAUUUUAAUUUAAGAAAAUUUUUUAAAAAUUAAUUGUGCCCAGAUAAAAAAAUUUCAAUUUUCCUUUUCCUUACUACAAAUCAAGUACUAAACUCAAAGCAAAUGUGAUUAAUGGAGACAGAAAAUUAAGUUGAGUAAUGGAAUAGAAAGACAUAAUUACCUCUGCAUGAAGUUUCUUAUUCUG